AUUGAACGCUAGCGGGAUGCUUUACACAUGCAAGUCGAACGGCAGCGCGGACUUCGGUCUGGCGGCGAGUGGCGAACGGGUGAGUAAUGUAUCGGAACGUGCCCAGUAGCGGGGGAUAACUACGCGAAAGCGUAGCUAAUACCGCAUACGCCCUACGGGGGAACGCAGGGGAUCGUAAGACCUUGCACUAUUGGAGCGGCCGAUAUCGGAUUAGCUAGUUGGUGAGGUAACGGCUCACCAAGGCGACGAUCCGUAGCUGGUUUGAGAGGACGACCAGGCACACUGGGACUGAGACACGGCCCAGACUCCUACGGGAGGCAGCAGUGGGGAAUUAUGGACAAUGGGGGCAACCCUUAUCCAGCCAUCCCGCGUGUGCGAUGAAGGCCUUCGGGGUGUAAAGCACUUUUGGCAGGAAAGAAACGUCGCGAGCUAAUACCCCGGGGAACUGACGGUACCUGCAGGAUAAGCACCGGCUAAAUACGUG
rnacentral:rRNA from 1 species